CGCGCAGGCGGUCGAAUUAGUCGAAUGUGAAAGCCCCCGGCUCAACUGGGGAGGGUCAUUCGAUACUGUUCGACUCGAAGGCAGGAGAGGGAAGUGGAAUUCCCGGUGUAGUGGUGAAAUGCGCAGAUAUCGGGAGGAACACCAGUGGCGAAGGCGACUUCCUGGCCUGUUCUUGACGCUGAGGCGCGAAAGCUAGGGGAGCAAACG
rnacentral:rRNA from 1 species